rnacentral:rRNA from 1 species
GCUCCAAUAGCGUAUAUUAAAGUUGUUGCAGUUAAAAAGCUCGUAGUUGGAUUUCUGGUGCGGCAGCCGGUCCGCCCCCCUCUGCGGGGGUGUGCACCGGCGCGGCCGCGCCAUCCUUGGGGAGAGCACGCCUGGCAUUAGGUUGUCGGGCGUGGGACCCCCAUCCUUUACUGUGAAAAAUUAGAGUGUUUAAAGCAGGC